rnacentral:rRNA from 1 species
CGGGACGGGUGAGUAAUGUCUGGGAAACGUGCCUGAUGGAGGGGGGUAACUACUGGAAACGGUAGCUAAUACCGCAUAACGUCGCAAGACCAAAGAGGGGGACCGUUCGGGCCUCUUGCCAUCGGAUGUGCCCAGAUGGGAUUAGCUAGUAGGUGGGGUAACGGCUCACCUAGGCGACGAUCCCUAGCUGUCUGAGAGGAUGACCAGCCACACUGGAACUGAGACACGGUCCAG